rnacentral:misc_RNA from 1 species
UGCUGUUUAAUUGUUUCAUAAGAAAUCCAACAUAGAUUGGGGAUUUUCAUCAAUAAUUCAAACACAGGGGAGGUUAACAUUAUAUUGAGGCAAAAUAAUACAUCCCUUAACUGAACCCUUUUCAAAUUAAGUUUUUGAAAAGAAAGAGAAGUAAGUUGAUACAUGUAGUUUCUGAACCAGAAAAGAAUGAUGAAUCAUUCUGACUUUUUCUCCGUCUUCUUUGCUUCUUUGUCCUUUGAUGGGGAAACUAGCAAAUUGAAAGUCCAAACAGCCAACAAAGUUGCUUGAAUUGGAGCAAGCCAAUAAACAUGUAUAUGCUCCUUAGUAAUAUGAUCACCCCG